rnacentral:rRNA from 1 species
CGUGUAGGCGGUUGUGCAAGUCAGGGGUGAAAGGCACCGGCUUAACCGGUUGAUCUGCCCUUGAAACUGCACGACUUGAGUACGGGAGAGGAGAGCGGAAUUCCCGGUGUAGCGGUGAAAUGCGUAGAUAUCGGGAAGAACACCAGUGGCGAAGGCGGCUCUCUGGCCCAGUACUGACGCUGAGGCGCGAAAGCCAGGGGAGCGAACG